CAAUACAAUCAUCAAUAACAUACCUAUCAACAAAAUGAUCAUCAACAACAGAAUCAAUCUUAGGUAUGCUUACCUCCACUUCCCUAGAUGUGGUUAAAGUGGUGGAAGAUGACAGUGGUCUACCUAUCUCAAAGGUGUUUCUCAUAUCUGCCUGUUCCUCCAAUUCUUCAUCAGUCUCCUCAGGUGCAACAGUAGGGACAUAGGAAGGUGGGAAAGUAGAUGGCGCAAUAGCAGACUCAUGACUCUGCUCCCCAUCUCCUAUGUGGAUGGCAUCAACAUCAUCUGGAAACUGAACAAUCUGAAAUGGUGAUCCCUCUAAAACAUAAGACUGUUCCUUAGUGAGCUGAGUG
rnacentral:lncRNA from 1 species